AGUGAACGCUGGCGGUAGGCCUAACACAUGCAAGUCGAACGGCAGCACAGUAAGAGCUUGCUCUUACGGGUGGCGAGUGGCGGACGGGUGAGGAAUACAUCGGAAUCUACUUUUUCGUGGGGGAUAACGUAGGGAAACUUACGCUAAUACCGCAUACGACCUACGGGUGAAAGCAGGGGAUCUUCGGACCUUGCGCGAUUGAAUGAGCCGAUGUCGGAUUAGCUAGUUGGCGGGGUUAAGGCCCACCAAGGCGACGAUCCGUAGCUGGUCUGAGAGGAUGAUCAGCCACACUGGAACUGAGACACGGUCCAGACUCCUACGGGAGGCAGCAGUGGGGAAUAUUGGACAAUGGGCGCAAGCCUGAUCCAGCCAUACCGCGUGGGUGAAGAAGGCCUUCGGGUUGUAAAGCCCUUUUGUUUGGAAAGAAAAGCAGCAGGUUAAUACCCCGCUGUUCUGACGGUACCCAAAGAAUAAGCACCGGCUAACUUCGUG
rnacentral:rRNA from 1 species